GUGUAGCCAUGCUUAUCCCCGAUGUCCUCUUCGUGCUCAUCCCCGACCUUUACCUCGCGGAUCGCCUCUGCGUGGAAUAGAGAACUGCCGGCCUUCGGUUGAUUCCAACUUUUGCAGAUGGAAAUGGAAUAUCAAGAAUCAGGUUAUCAACACUCUCAUAAUUUCAGUUUCGAUGGAAAGCUUGCAGGUUUUCAGAACAAUGCAAGCAUGUCAGAAAAACUGCUGCUACUCAAGAUCAUCACUAUUUUUUUCUCUCUUUCAUCCUGCUUACCAAGAAAUGAUGAUGAUAUAUGGAGCUAAUCAUAAGGGAAACUGUGAAGCGUGCACUCUUCUGCCAUGUUUUUCUGUGUUUUACAUAAUUUUCUAUUCUUUCCCUAGGAAAGAAACCUGAUUGUGCUUCUUCCAUUUUCCUAUCAUGUUCGAUUGUGGGGAUGCUAAGUGCAUCGAUCUGUACUAGGAUCAGGGACACAGGAGGCAUGUGUAACUGUCCAUGGCAGCAUGAGGAUCUGGGAUAUCUGAUAAGACUUUUUCUAUAUGACUUUCUUUUAAAACUCCAUUUGUCUGCUGCACAAGGAGUAUGGGACAUCAGAGACCACAUGUAAUAUGUCCAACAAUGGAAAAUUAAUUUCGUGUAAUGCAUUGUAAUUGGAAUUAGCUCAUACGACAUGUUGCUUCAAGCUGAAAACAACUUUUUCAUGACAAUUAUGUAC